UCAUAGCAGCUAGCACUACUGCCUUAAACAAAUCUCGACAGAGCACAGAUUAAGGAUCACACAGGAUUCUCAUAUCAAGACAUGUCCGGAGCCUCAACAAACACGGGAAGUAAUGGUGAGCCUCUCUAUCAAAAUGCUCCACUGAUUAUUUGUCACACCUAAUGUAUAACGUGUUGGACGUACAUGCGUACGUGCAGGGUUACAUCACCCCGUGCCUCCCCAGGGAGGAUCACAAACCCGUCCCGAGUACAUUCCCCGACCUCAUGGAGAAAACGCUCCCUCUUCUGGUUAGUAUGCGUUAGGCAUGAGCCUUAUUUACUGUACCAUAUAUAGUUCAAAGACUUCGACUUUGAUUUCGCAUAUUGUUUACAACGGAAAGCAAAGCUUCCAGUGGUUCGAGCUGAGUCUCAACACUGCAUGUGCGAUAUGCUACGGCAUGCAUGGAUGUCUAGAGUGUUUCCAUUUCUUUUGAAUAUAUUUUUCCUGCUGCCUUUUUUCGUGGGUCCUAAGACUCUAGCAAACUUUCUUCCUCUGUUUUACCUUUUCGAUACCUCCAAAAGGUCUCCAUUUUAUAUCAUCCUGAAAAGGUUCGGAGGUACUACUGUUUUGUAUAUGAAGUACCUAAGUACCAAAUACUUAACUAUAAUUCUGUACGGCGCUCCUGGUACGUAAGGGUCCAAAAUGAGCUGUCUUUAUUUUUUUUUCUCCAAAAGAUCUUCUUUUUUAUUUUUUUCCUGGUAUCUUCUUUUUCUCCAAAAUUUUGUACCUCUUUGUACCUUUUAAGGGUCCAAAAUGAUCUCUCUUUAUUCUUUUUCCUCCUUGUUUGAUCCAUUCUUUUACCUUUCACCUCUACAUGCACCAAAUCUUGUUCUGAUAAACUAUCUCCACCCCUUUUCUUUGUCACUUGUACGCAAAAAGGUAUAUUUUCUUUCUCUAAACGCUAGCGGUUCUGAGGCCUCACUUGACGUAAUACCCUAAAUUUUGUUGGGAUUCUUGUUCACGCAUGCAGCCCCAGGAUAUAACGGCAUCAUAAAUCAUGUGCCAACUACUGGUACAACAGGGCACUAUCAAGCGCCUUACAAUAAUCAAGUUCAAGCAGGUCAGAAUGGAAGCACAAACAGAAACAUACAAGGUACAUACUAUUCGGUUCCUAGCUAGUACUUGCAGCCAUUUUAUAAUUUUUCUAAGAUAUCAUGUGUUCAUUUGCAUUUUGGCCUAGCCUGAGAAACACUAACGUUUCAAGGUUUUUUUAGCAGCUGGCGGUAUGUCUUCUACUGUGCCUGCGAUGGGUAGACGUUAAAUUAAAAUAUGUGAAGAAGAAGAUUUGUGUGUUUGUAAAUAUAUUAUGGUCGACUCAUAUGGUAGAAAGAAGAAAUAAAUUGUAUUUUCCUUGUUUAAAUUAUAGGUUUGAUGCAUUGGUUUUAUUUACAAUCAGGUCCCUGAAAUAAUGUAAACAUCCCUAUACAUUGAUUUGUACAUUGGAGCUUGUAACAGUUUUUUAUCAUAACUGUAUGAUUUCAUUUUCGACUCUUAUAUCACGAUUAAAAAGUCUUUUCAACAUUCAAAC
rnacentral:lncRNA from 1 species